rnacentral:lncRNA from 1 species
CUUGAGAAGUUUUCUAUAUUGAAGAUUUCUUUAAAAUAUGUAUUUUACCAGCUAAAAGAAUUCCCUUGAUAUAUAUAUUUUUUUCCAAACCUCAUUUACAUUUCAGUCCAGUUUAUUUACCUAGAAAUUUCCCCACAUCUGUUCUGGGAAACUGGGGGCUCACAUUCUGGAAACUUGUUUUCUGGAAAUAACUUCUGAAACUAGGAAAAUAUCGCCAGCCAAGAGGGUGAUACACAUCCUCUGCACACCCUCUUUCCCUCCGAGACUCCUUGGGGAUGUAAGAACUAUCCAUGGGCAAAAUUCUCAUCCACACCAUUUCAUGUUUAGUUUCUUUUUUCUUAAGUGGCAGCAGCUGAGCACAGAUGUCCAGAUUGGCAACAAUUAUGAACCCAAUUAACCCAGUUAAUGGCACCACAGCCCUUCGCGAAGUGACAGAUUAUCGCAAGCAGACAUGGUACAGCCACUCACCCCUAUCGCAUGCCCUUGUGUCACCGAGAAAAUGAGUGGAGGAGGAUCAGUGAGGAGAAAAUCAUAGAAUCAUAGAAUGGUUCACUGAAUGAAAGACAGCAGAGGAGAUAUUCCAGCUGGAGGGUGGGGUGCCCACUGGGCAUGUUUCAACCUUUGGUCUCUGAGGACCUCAAGAUGUGGACACCUUUCCUUCCUGGUCAGCAAUGUGGGCUGGGGACACUCAGAAGACAUCAAGGAACAAGGAAGGUCUGUGGCAAAACACCCAGCUGGAGAAGUGCUUUGGUGCUGAGGUGUAGACCUGGUGCCCAUGCUCCUCGGCGUUAUCCUGUGCAGCUCCCCUCCCUCUGCAGGCCUGCUCUCCCUUUCACCUGGCCACUUGCUAGCUCUGUGAUUGAGCUGUGAGGUAAGGGAACAUUUAUCUUUGCAAACAAACUGAGAUGAAGUCCUCCCCUUUAGAGCCCAGGGAAUAGUUACUUUAAUAUUUGGCAUUUUAUAUAGAUAAUCUGCCAGCAACAGAAGUGUGUUGCUAUGUGCUGCACAUAUGUCUCGUCUCGUCUCCUUUAACCCUCUCACUGCAAGGGAUCAUUUGUAACAUCAACAGGAAAACUCCCAGUUCCCUUUUCCCACUGGAAGGCUUCCAAACUCUCUAAUUAAUGAACUUUUUUCCUCGUUACCCAUCAUGAGUUGUUCAUCAGCUCCUGCCUGAACUGCAAAGUGAUGUUGAACUGUCUCAGGAACUCACAGCCAGCAUGCCCUUUCAUCAGGGGAAAUCUCUGAGUAUUUACUUGCCUAGAUGGUUUCCCUCAUAUGUAAUUGUGGAGCUUUCUCUCCAAGGAUUUAAAAUACUUGUUGACAUGGCAGGGAAGGCACACUCUGCUGCUCAUCCUGGUGCUGCGUGCAGUCUUUAGGGACUGAUGUAUUUCUCAGUAUUCUAAACUUUCAAGUACUUUGAUUUUAAAGCUCUUUGCACUAAUAAUAUUUGUCUUAUAAUGCUGUAUUAAAAAAAAAAAAAAGUAAGGUUGAAAUGCCAUGAAAGAUGCUCCAUGAUGCAGCCAAAAUCCCUACUGUUCUUCAUGGUGUAAGGCCAUAUAACUAAAAUUUGAAGUGGCAUAUUGCAUUAGACUUCCUUGAGAUAAAAAUCGUACGCUGCACUUUUCAUGAUAUCUUUAUUUCAGCAACAUUAGAAUAUCAACAUAUUACCACCUGUUGAUAAUCUGAUAGAAAAUAUCCAACUUGCCUUGAGUGAGAAAAUAUUCAGUGCAUAAAAAUGUUACUGUUUUCAGUAAACCCUGCCAAGGAUGGAGACACCAAUUCACUUACUUUAAACUUGCCUAGCACCUUUUGAUUGCAGAAAGGCUUUGCCGGAAGACCUGACAGGACUAAUGCAAAAUGCUUCAGAGGA